rnacentral:tRNA from 1 species
GCUGUUAUAGCUCAAGGUAAAACGGUGAACUGUUAAUUUAAGUAUAGAGGUUCGAUUCCUCUUAACGGCU